CCUGGUUGAUCCUGCCAGUAGUCAUAUGCUUGUCUCAAAGAUUAAGCCAUGCAUGUCUAAGUAUAAACAACUUUAUACUGUGAAACUGCGAAUGGCUCAUUAAAUCAGUUAUAGUUUAUUUGAUAGUACCUUACUACUUGGAUAACCGUAGUAAUUCUAGAGCUAAUACAUGCGAAAAGACCCGACUUUUUGGAAGGGUUGCAUUUAUUAGAUACAAAACCAAUGGCCAGCAAUGGUCACACUUGGUGAUUCAUAAUAACUUUUGCGGAUCGCAUAGCUUUACGCUGGCGACGAAUCAUUCAAAUUUCUGCCCUAUCAACUUUCGAUGGUACGGUAUUGGCCUACCAUGGUUACAACGGGUAACGGGGAAUUAGGGUUCGGUUCCGGAGAGGGGGCCUGAGAAAUGGCCACCACAUCCAAGGAAGGCAGCAGGCGCGCAAAUUACCCAAUCCUGAUACAGGGAGGUAGUGACAAUAAAUAACAAUGCAGGACCUUUACGGGUUUUGUAAUUGGAAUGAGUACAAUUUAAAUCUCUUAACGAGUACCAAUUGGAGGGCAAGUCUGGUGCCAGCAGCCGCGGUAAUUCCAGCUCCAAUAGCGUAUAUUAAAGUUGUUGCAGUUAAAAAGCUCGUAGUUGAAUCUCGGAGUCCUUUUUUCUUCGGAAACGCCGAUGGUCGGAAACCCAGAGCCUCGAAAGGGGUGGAUGGGGCUGUUUACUUGAGGCAGGGCUCACAUCUGAGUUUCUCGAAGGUGGCCUCUGCUCUUCACUGGGUUGGGGGACUUUUUCACAUUCGAGACAUUUACUUUGAAAAAAUUAGAGUGUUCAAAGCAGGCAGUUUCGCUUGAAUACAUUAGCAUGGAAUAAUGGAAUAGGACUUUGGUCUUAUUUUGUUGGUUUCUAGGACUGAAGUAAUGAUUAAUAGGGACAGUUGGGGGCAUUAGUAUUUAAUUGUCAGAGGUGAAAUUCUUGGAUUUAUGAAAGACUAACUUCUGCGAAAGCAUUUGCCAAGGAUGUUUUCAUUAAUCAAGAACGAAAGUUAGGGGAUCGAAGACGAUUAGAUACCGUCGUAGUCCUAACCAUAAACUAUGCCGACUCGGGAUCGGUGAGCGUGUUUUUUUACUACCUCAUCAGCACCGUAGGAGAAAUCAAAGUUUUUGGGUUCUGGGGGGUGUAUGGUCGCAAGGCUGAAACUUAAAGGAAUUGACGGAAGGGCACACCAGGUUUGGAGCCUGCGGCUUAAUUUGACCCAACACGGGGAAACUCACCAGGUCCAGACACCGUAAGGAUUGACAGAUUGAGAGCUCUUUCUUGG
rnacentral:rRNA from 1 species